GUGAGGAAUUUUCCGCAAUGGGCGAAAGCCUGACGGAGCAAUGCCGCGUGAAGGAUGAAGGCCUAUGGGUUGUAAACUUCUUUUCUCAGAAAAGAAUUAUGACGGUAUCUGAGGAAUAAGCAUCGGCUAACUCUGUGCCAGCAGCCGCGGUAAGACAGAGGAUGCAAGCGUUAUCCGGAAUGAUUGGGCGUAAAGCGUCUGUAGGUUGUUUAAAAAGUAUUCUGUCAAAGAUUAGGGCUUAAACCUAGAUAGGCAGAAUAAACUUUUAAGCUAGAGUUUGGUAGAGGCAGAGGGAAUUCCCGGUGGAGCGGUGAAAUGCGUAGAUAUCGGGAAGAACACCAAAGGCGAAGGCACUCUGCUGGGCCAAUACUAACACUGAGAGACGAAAGCGAGGGGAGCAAAUGGGAUUAGAAACCCGAGUAGUCC
rnacentral:rRNA from 1 species